rnacentral:rRNA from 1 species
AACGAACGCUGGCGGCAUGCCUAACACAUGCAAGUCGAACGAGACCUUCGGGUCUAGUGGCGCACGGGUGCGUAACGCGUGGGAAUCUGCCCUUGGGUUCGGAAUAACAGUUGGAAACGACUGCUAAUACCGGAUGAUGACGUAAGUCCAAGAUUUAUCGCCCAGGGAUGAGCCCGCGUAGGAUUAGCUAGUUGGUGGGGUAAAGGCCUACCAAGGCGACGAUCCUUAGCUGGUCUGAGAGGAUGAUCAGCCACACUGGGACUGAGACACGGCCCAGACUCCUACGGGAGGCAGCAGUGGGGAAUAUUGGACAAUGGGCGAAAGCCUGAUCCAGCAAUGCCGCGUGAGUGAUGAAGGCCUUAGGGUUGUAAAGCUCUUUUACCCGGGAUGAUAAUGACAGUACCGGGAGAAUAAGCCCCGGCUAACUCCGUG